rnacentral:rRNA from 1 species
CGAAGGGGGCAAGCGUUGUUCGGAAUUACUGGGCGUAAAGGGCGCGUAGGCGGCUUAUCAAGUCAGGCGUGAAAUUCCCGGGCUCAACCUGGGGGCUGCGCUUGAUACUGAUGAGCUUGAAUGCGGGAGAGGAUAGUGGAAUUCCCAGUGUAGAGGUGAAAUGCGUAGAGAUGUGGAGGAACACCAGUGGCGAAGGCGACUCUCUGGGCUGUAACUGACGCUGAGGCGCGAAAGCGUGGGGAGCAAACAGG